rnacentral:rRNA from 1 species
UACGGGAGGCAGCAGUGGGGAAUAUUGCACAAUGGGCGCAAGCCUGAUGCAGCCAUGCCGCGUGUAUGAAGAAGGCCUUCGGGUUGUAAAGUACUUUCAGUCGUGAGGAAGGUGUUAAGGUUAAUAACCUUAGCAAUUGACGUUAGCGACAGAAGAAGCACCGGCUAACUCCGUGCCAGCAGCCGCGGUAAUACGGAGGGUGCGAGCGUUAAUCGGAAUUACUGGGCGUAAAGGGCACGCAGGCGGUUAAUUAAGUUGGAUGUGAAAUCCCCGGGCUUAACCUGGGAAUGGCAUUCAAGACUGGUUAGCUAGAGUCUUGGUAGAGGGGGUAGAAUUCCAUGUGUAGCGGUGAAAUGCGUAGAGAUGUGGAGGAAUACCGGUGGCGAAGGCGGCCCCUGGCAAAGGACUGACGCUCAUGUGCGAAAGCGUGGGGAGCAAACAGGGAUUAGAUACC